GCAUUGCAUUGCAUUGCAUGGUGAUGCUACUACUCCGUGGCAUGCAUGCACUAUAAACAAUCUCCCGUGCCCAUUGGUAGCGAAACCCUAGAAUUGAAUCGAGGCACCGGUGGCGGCGGCGGCGGCGAGCGAGCGAGCGAAAAAGAAAUCGAGGAUAAGGCGAGGGAAGAGGCAAUCAUGUCCCUCCGACGGGCCGUCAGUUUCCUCCUCACACGGAGGCUCUCGUCGCGGGUGAUCCCAAGGACGGCUCCUGCACGCUCUUUCCACUCCUUGGGCCUCCCCAUCGGCGAUGGCCUUCGUGGUGCUGCUGGUGUGGCCGCGGCCGCUGCUGCGUUUGCUGGUGCUGGAACCUUGGCAGUUCAAUAUUUCAGGAAAGGCCCAAAUGAUGAUGAGCCAGCUACUCGCAAGAAAGAGCAGGACAUCUAUAUAUAUAAAGAGGAGGAGAUGCAAGAGAGGUUUGAGAAUUGGAUGAAGCGGUUCAACAAGACAUACCGAAACGAGAAAGAGAAGGCUAUGCGGUUCCAAGUAUUCAAGGAAACCAUGAAGUGGAUUGAAUCGCAGCCCCCAUCUUCCCAGAAGCUUAUGCUUCCAGGAAACUGUUUUGCAGACUUGAGAAGCGAGGAGCUUCCGUGCAGCCAGACCUGUAUCGGUGAUUUAGAUGACCCAGACACUGAAGAUUACCGCGAGAACAAGUUUGUCACCGAGAAUGUGGAAGCCAGUAGGCAGUAGCAACUGCACGCUAAGAGCACUGACCUCUGUCCUGGACAAGCAAUCGUAUGGAAGCCAGUAUGGCCAGCCGUGAAGCAGGGUGGCAAGCAAGCAACUCAAGUCUCUGCCUAGAAACGAUAUCCGGUGCACGUCACAUGACAUAAGGUCCAACGUAUGGGAACACUCUUUCUUUUUAUAACUUGUAACAAGGGGGGGAAACAUGAACAUGGUUACCGUUUAUCAAAUGCUUGGCAAGACAAUCGUGGAGGAGGCUCUUAGAAGCAAAAGUAAGAAGAGUAGCGCCACAGGAAAGGUGUUCGCAGCUGCUUAAUGAAUGGUCAUCAAUCUUUUGGAUUGUGCUUGGUACUCUUGUUGGGAAUUUCUUUGCGGUGUAGAAGUGUGAAGGUUGGUGGUCGUUGCGUGUUGGGUAUGGUUGUUGGCCUCAUUGUGCACUUAUGGGGUUUGCAUGCUUUGUGAGUAGUACACAUGUGAUUGGUUUA